UGCGUGCGGCGCCCCGGGCCGCGGGGUAACCGCGGGGGAGCUGCUGCCUCCCGUUCUGCUUCUGUAAGAGCACCAGGAUGGGCAGCAGCCGGGGCCGGCCGGAGGGAGGCGAACGCCUCUGCAACAACAGGGCAACGCUGCAGCAGCACUCUCCAUUUUGCGCUAAUCUGCUUUAAAAACCUGUCUCCAGGGAGCGCCAGAACAGAUUGGCCUAAUCCAGCCCUGAGCUGGGCGGCCGCCGUCGCUUGGGAUGUGAAAUGCUUUAGAGGCAAAUGCAGAAACCGGGGCGGCCUCUGCAGCCGCCCUCCGCCCUCUUGCCUGCCCGCACACGGACACGCACCCCCGGCUCUUCGGCGAUUUCUGGAUGUUUCCUUCUCCCACACACCGUUUCUAGGGCAUCCCAGCGAGUCGUGCCCCUGUGGGACAUGACUGCCCUUGAAAAGGGUUUGCUGCAGAGCCUUUGCCACAGUGUCGCGCACACUCUGGGAGGGGACAGCGUCAUCCCCCCGCCCGACGGGCUGCGAGCGCCCCGUUUUGGACCCCUGCAAACCUGACUCCCCUUGCCAUGCGCAGGCUCGGCACAGAGGCUCUCCGGCCUCCUCGCCAGGCCCUGCUCCGACACACGGGGGCACUGACGGAUUUUCAGAAACAGUUCUAGGAAACUGCUUUUUUUUUUUUUUUUUUAACUAAUAAGGAAGCAAACAGGUUUUUUUCCUUGCCUUGCCCUGUGCGUCCCCUGACUGAGAUAAAUGAAAAAACACAAGCUGGCGCGGAUUCCCGGGAUGGUGAACGCUGGCCCACACUCUUCCAGUGAAACAAAAGUGUUGGUGGCUUUAAGGUCAACCCUCCCAUCCAACAGUUUGCGUGUACAUCCCACAGUGCCUGGGGAAGGAGCUGCAGCAAGGCUUGGAAAGCAACUGGGGACCACUUGUGUAAGAAGACUUGUGACAGAAGUGUGCAGAGACACCCAGCAGAGCUGAUGCUGUAAUUCACACAUUACCUGAGGCUGAGGCAAGCAAGAGGCUGAAUGUGGCUGUCAGCCACAUUCCCCAUGCCCUGCCACAAUCUAAUCUUGACACAUACAGUGCAGAAACCUCCAGGCCACGGCGCCCAACAUCCCAAACCAGCUCCAGAGACAUUCAGCAGCUCUGGGGCAGGAUGCUGAGACCGUCCUGGGUGAAGAACAACUCCUCCCUCACCCCUCCAGCUACAGCCAAGCAGCUCUGUAUGUGCCAGACAAGAAUCAUUCCCCGUCCUCGACACAGCAGCUCUGGAUAUUCUCAGUGUAGCUGUAUAAACAUUAUUAUUAAUUUAAUCCUAAUGAGUUUUGGCUUCAAUACCUCAUGGCAGAGACUUUCAUGUACUGAGAAUAGCCAGUUAUUAAAUGAUUCCUGGAUGAGGAAGUACGACAUUUAUGAGGCUGAUACUAACAUUAGAAUUUCCUCCCUUGUAUACUUUACUGCAUUUUUGCCUUCAUUAAAAAAUGAAAUAAAGACACCAUUUGAAUCAUAA